rnacentral:tRNA from 1 species
GGGCCCGUGGCCUAGUGGAUAGGGCGUCGGCCUUCGGAGCCGAAGGUCGCGGGUUCGAAUCCCGCCGGGCCCG